GGUUAAGCGACUAAGCGUACACGGUGGAUGCCCUGGCAGUCAGAGGCGAUGAAGGGCGUGCUAAUCUGCGAUAAGCGCCGGUAAGGUGAUAUGAACCGUUAUAACCGGCGAUACCCGAAUGGGGAAACCCAGUGUGAUUCGUCACACUAUCAUUAACUGAAUCCAUAGGUUAAUGAGGCGAACCGGGGGAACUGAAACAUCUAAGUACCCCGAGGAAAAGAAAUCAACCGAGAUUCCCCCAGUAGCGGCGAGCGAACGGGGAGGAGCCCAGAGCCUGAAUCAGCAUGUGUGUUAGUGGAAGCGUCUGGAAAGGCGCGCGAUACAGGGUGACAGCCCCGUACACAAAAGCGUAUGUGCUGUGAGCUCGAUGAGUAGGGCGGGACACGUGGUAUCCUGUCUGAAUAUGGGGGGACCAUCCUCCAAGGCUAAAUACUCCUGACUGACCGAUAGUGAA
rnacentral:rRNA from 1 species